CCUCAGCUUCAUCCUUAUUGCAACCAUGAGUACAACCUGAGAAAGCCAACAUGUCCAUCUCAUAUCUAAGAUGCAAGGCCACAAAAGGCCCCCUAUCCUGAAGAAUGCGAACCAAUUUGUAACCCAAACUUUCAAUCUGCGGAGUGAAUUUCAGUGCCUCAAAAUUAACACGGCAUCUGAGUUUCUGAAGAUUGAGUGAGAUCCCAUUGUUUGCCAAGCGUGCAUCAGUUUUGUUGAAGUGCAACACCUU
rnacentral:misc_RNA from 1 species